rnacentral:tRNA from 1 species
AUAAAUAUAGCUUAUAUUAUAAAGCAUCUAACUGUUAAUUAGAAGAAUAUUAUAUUUAUAUAUG